GGUUAAGUGACUAAGCGUACACGGUGGAUGCCUUGGCAGUCAGAGGCGAUGAAGGACGUAUUAACUUGCGAUAAGCCCAGAUUAGGUAGUAAAAACCUUUUGAGUCUGGGAUUUCCGAAUGGGGAAACCCACUUACAAAGUAAGUAUCUUGUUGUGAAUACAUAGCAACAAGAGGCAAACCGGGGGAACUGAAACAUCUAAGUACCCCGAGGAAGAGAAAUCAACCGAGAUUCCGAAAGUAGCGGCGAGCGAAAUUGGAUUAGCCCUUAAGCUUUUAAUGAUGCAGGUGAAGGCUCUGGAAAGUGCCGCAAUAAAGGGUGAUAGCCCCGUAACCGACACAUCAUAAUCAGUGAAAACGAGUAGGGCGGGACACGUGAUAUCCUGUCUGAAUAUGGGGGGACCAUCCUCCAAGGCUAAAUACUACUGACUGACCGAUAGUGAACCAGUACCGUGAGGGAAAGGCGAAAAGAACCCCUGUGAGGGGAGUGAAAUAGAACCUGAAACCGUGUACGUACAAGCAGUAGGAGCACCUUCGUGGUGUGACUGCGUACCUUUUGUAUAAUGGGUCAGCGACUUAUAUUCAGUGGCAAGGUUAACCGUUUAGGGGAGCCGUAGGGAAACCGAGUCUUAACUGGGCGUUCAGUCUCUGGAUAUAGACCCGAAACCAGGUGAUCUAGCCAUGGGCAGGUUGAAGGUUGAGUAACAUCAACUGGAGGACCGAACCGACUAAUGUUGAAAAAUUAGCGGAUGACUUGUGGCUAGGGGUGAAAGGCCAAUCAAACCUGGAGAUAGCUGGUUCUCCCCGAAAGCUAUUUAGGUAGCGCCUCGGACGAAUACUACUGGGGGUAGAGCACUGUUAAGGCUAGGGGGUCAUCCCGACUUACCAACCCUUUGCAAACUCCGAAUACCAGUAAGUACUAUCCGGGAGACACACGGCGGGUGCUAACGUCCGUCGUGGAGAGGGAAACAACCCAGACCGCCAGCUAAGGUCCCAAAGUAUAGCUAAGUGGGAAACGAUGUGGGAAGGCUCAGACAGCCAGGAUGUUGGCUUAGAAGCAGCCAUCAUUUAAAGAAAGCGUAAUAGCUCACUGGUCGAGUCGGCCUGCGCGGAAGAUGUAACGGGGCUAAGCUAUACACCGAAGCUGCGGCUGCACACUUUAGUGUGCGGGGUAGGGGAGCGUUCUGUAAGCCGUUGAAGGUGGUCUGUAAGGGCUGCUGGAGGUAUCAGAAGUGCGAAUGCUGACAUGAGUAACGAUAAAGGGAGUGAAAAACUCCCUCGCCGGAAGACCAAGGGUUCCUGUCCAACGUUAAUCGGGGCAGGGUAAGUCGACCCCUAAGGCGAGGCCGAAAGGCGUAGUCGAUGGGAAACGGGUUAAUAUUCCCGUACUUCUUACAAUUGCGAUGGGGGGACGGAGAAGGCUAGGUGGGCCUGGCGACGGUUGUCCAGGUUCAAGUACGUAGGCGGAAGAGUUAGGUAAAUCCGGCUCUUCAUUAACGCUGAGAUACGAUGUCGAGCCACUACGGUGGUGAAGUCAUUGAUGCCAUGCUUCCAGGAAAAGCCUCUAAGCUUCAGAUUGUAAGGAAUCGUACCCCAAACCGACACAGGUGGUCGGGUAGAGAAUACCAAGGCGCUUGAGAGAACUCGGGUGAAGGAACUAGGCAAAAUGGUACCGUAACUUCGGGAGAAGGUACGCUCUUAUCGGUGAAGUCCCUCGCGGAUGGAGCUGACGAGAGUCGCAGAUACCAGGUGGCUGCAACUGUUUAUUAAAAACACAGCACUGUGCAAAAUCGUAAGAUGACGUAUACGGUGUGACGCCUGCCCGGUGCCGGAAGGUUAAUUGAUGGGGUUAGACUUCGGUCGAAGCUCUUGAUCGAAGCCCCGGUAAACGGCGGCCGUAACUAUAACGGUCCUAAGGUAGCGAAAUUCCUUGUCGGGUAAGUUCCGACCUGCACGAAUGGCGUAAUGAUGGCCACGCUGUCUCCACCGAGACUCAGUGAAAUUGAAAUCGCUGUGAAGAUGCAGUGUACCGCGGCUAGACGGAAAGACCCCGUGAACCUUUACUACAGCUUGGCACUGAACAUUGACCCUACAUGUGUAGGAUAGGUGGGAGACUUUGAAACCGCGUCGCUAGAUGUGGUGGAGUCGUCCUUGAAAUACCACCUUGUAGCGGUUGGACAUCGUGAGGUUAGUGCAAUGGCAUAAGCCCGCUUGACUGCGAGAAUGACAAUUCGAGCAGGUGCGAAAGCAGGUCAUAGUGAUCCGGUGGUUCUGAAUGGAAGGGCCAUCGCUCAACGGAUAAAAGGUACUCCGGGGAUAACAGGCUGAUACCGCCCAAGAGUUCAUAUCGACGGCGGUGUUUGGCACCUCGAUGUCGGCUCAUCACAUCCUGGGGCUGAAGUCGGUCCCAAGGGUAUGGCUGUUCGCCAUUUAAAGUGGUACGCGAGCUGGGUUUAGAACGUCGUGAGACAGUUCGGUCCCUAUCUGCCGUGGGCGUUGGAAGAUUGAAGGGGGCUGCUCCUAGUACGAGAGGACCGGAGUGGACGAACCUCUGGUGUUCGGGUUGUCAUGCCAAUGGCAUUGCCCGGUAGCUAAGUUCGGAAUCGAUAACCGCUGAAAGCAUCUAAGCGGGAAGCGAGCCCUGAGAUGAGUCUUCCCUGGCACUUUAAGUGUCCUAAAGGGUUGUUCAAGACUAGAACGUUGAUAGGCAGGGUGUGUAAGCGCUGUGAGGCGUUGAGCUAACCUGUACUAAUUGCCCGUGAGGCUUAACCAU
rnacentral:rRNA from 1 species